AUGGGGGUAGACCCGGGCGUCCCCGCCUCGGGCGAGGGUCCCAGACCUCCGUGCCCCCCCAGGGGCUGCAGGCCCGGGAGGCGGUCCCGCGAGGCGGCGUCCAGCAGCGGGGCGGCCUGCGCCGAAGGGCCGCGGGCGGCCGAGAGCAGCAGCAGCAGCAGCAGCACGAGCGGGGGCACCAUGGCCGGCGGGGGGCGCGGCUGGCGAGGAGGGUGCGGUCAGAGGCCCCGCUCAGCCCCCCACCCUCUCGAUCGCGCCCCCGCCAGCCGCCUGGCCCGCCCGCCCGUCCUCACUUCCGAGCCGCCCCACAGCCCGCUCAACGGCUUCUGGCUCCCAGGGACGGUUGGAUUCAGACGGUUGCGGCCCCGGGAGCUGCCCGGGAACUGGACCGCUAACUCCGAGAGCUCGGGCACGCCCCCUCUGGCCACGCCCCCGCUCCCGAGCCACGCCCCGCGCACUGUUACGUCUCAACGAACCCCUAGCGCAAUGGCCACGCCCUGAGCACAGGCCACGCCCACCAGGGGGGACGCUCCAGUCAUAGACCACGCCCCCCCUCCGCGGAAAGGGCCACGCCUUGUCGAGCCAGGCCCUGCGGCCCCGGCCCCGCCUGGCCCGGUUGCAGCACCCACGCGCACCUCAGCCCACGGAGACUUGGGGGUGCCCGGCUCCCACGUGCUCCCUGCCCUCGGCCAGGGCGCCUUGCUCAUCGGCCACGGGCUGACCCAUUCCACUCUAACCUCAUCACCGCUUUUCUCUUAUUUCUACGGAACACCAUCCAUACUCUUCCUGCGAGGGUGUUUGCUCAGUACCGAGCGUCUGCUUUGCGGUUUCUUCGUUUAGCUGCUGUUUUUGGCGGGAAGACGCGGGGUUGAUCGGGCCUGCGGCCGCUGGACAAUCUGCUUCAGAGCGGGUUCCCCCACAUCCCGCCUCCCGAGAGAGGCAGAGACAGCUCCCAUUUGCUGCUCCACUCUCCGAGACUCUGUGAUGGCUGGGGUGGGAGCCAGGGCCUAAGCCAGGAGCUGGGAACCGAUCAGGACCCCCGGGGGUGGCAGGAGCUGUCACCGCUGCCUGCACAGCCAGAGGCCAGAGUCGGCAGCUGGGGCGGGGCUGGCAGCCGGGUUCUCUGACAGGUGUGGGUGGCCCCGCCCCGCCCCAUGUGAUCACCCAGAAAACCUUCGAGAUCCUUUGCUGUAGACUUAGCUUUUGCAGCCAGGACCCUCCCAGCCCAGGACCCCCCCAGCCCAGGACCCCCCCAGCCCAGGACCCCAGUCAAUGAGGGGAAACAGAAUCAGAAGGGAUGUUUUCAAAGUUUUUUCCUAAUGCCCUUUGAGAACUCUGCGAAGUCCCCUCCCUGGGGGGCCGCGCUCCUGUGCCACUGGGCCACCCGGGGCCAGGUGUGGAGGGCAGGCGGCCCUGGGGAGCCCCACAGGACAGUCACAUGGUGUCCUCCCGGCCCGGUCCAGCAGGGGCAGCGGUCUGACGGGGGUCUGUCUUCCCUCCU
rnacentral:lncRNA from 1 species